rnacentral:scRNA from 1 species
CUGAGUGCGCCGGGCUUGGUUGGGGUCCUCCA